UGGGGAAUAUUGCACAAUGGGCGCAAGCCUGAUGCAGCAACGCCGCGUGAGGGACGACGGCCUUCGGGUUGUAAACCUCUUUUAGUAGGGAAGAAGCGAAAGUGACGGUACCUGCAGAAAAAGCACCGGCUAACUACGUGCCAGCAGCCGCGGUAAUACGUAGGGUGCGAGCGUUGUCCGGAAUUAUUGGGCGUAAAGAGCUCGUAGGCGGUCUGUCGCGUCUGCUGUGAAAACCCGAGGCUCAACCUCGGGCCUGCAGUGGGUACGGGCAGACUAGAGUGCGGUAGGGGAGAAUGGAAUUCCUGGUGUAGCGGUGGAAUGCGCAGAUAUCAGGAGGAACACCGAUGGCGAAGGCAGUUCUCUGGGCCGUAACUGACGCUGAGGAGUGAAAGCGUGGGGAGCGAACAGGAUUAGAUACCCUGGUAGUCCACGCCGUAAACGUUGGGCGCUAGAUGUGGGGACCAUUCCACGGUUUCCGUGUCGCAGCUAACGCAUUAAGCGCCCCGCCUGGGGAGUACGGCCGCAAGGCUAAAACUCAAAGGAAUUGACGGGGUCAUAGCUG
rnacentral:rRNA from 1 species